rnacentral:rRNA from 1 species
GGGUCAGUAGGUUGGUCGUGCCACCGGUACGUACUGGUCUCACUGAUUCCUCCUUCCUGAAUAACCGUAAUGCCAUUAAUUUGGUGUUGCGGGGAAACAGGACUGUUACUUUGAAAAAAUUAGAGUGUUUAAAGCAAGCUAACGCUUGAAUAAAUUAGCAUGUAAUAAUGAAAUAGGACGAUCGAUCCUAUUUUGUUGGUUUCUAGGAUUGACGUA